rnacentral:rRNA from 1 species
GAUGAACGCUGGCGGCGUGCCUAAUACAUGCAAGUCGAGCGAAGCGGGGACGGGUGAGUAACACGUGGUUACCCUCCUAUAAGACUGGGAUAACGUCGGGAAACCGGUGCUAAACCGGAUACUUAGGGAUCGAUCCGCGCUGCAUUAGCUAGUUGGUAAGGUAACGGCUUACAAAGGCAACGAUGCGGAGCCGACCUGAGGGGGUGAGCGGCCACACUGGAACUGAGACACGGUCCAGACUCCUACGGGAGGCAGCAGUAGGGAAUCUUCCGCAAUGGGCGAAAGCCUGACAGAGCAACGCCGCGUGAGUGAUGAAGGUCUUCGGAUCGUAAAACUCUGUUAUUAGAGAAGCGGUACCUAAUCAGAAAGCCACGGCUAACUACGUGCCAGCAGCCGCGGUAAUAC